UUAAGCGACUAAGCGUACACGGUGGAUGCCCUGGCAGUCAGAGGCGAUGAAGGACGUGCUAAUCUGCGAUAAGCGUCGGUAAGGUGAUAUGAACCGUUAUAACCGGCGAUUUCCGAAUGGGGAAACCCAGUGUGUUUCGACACACUAUCAUUAACUGAAUCCAUAGGUUAAUGAGGCGAACCGGGGGAACUGAAACAUCUAAGUACCCCGAGGAAAAGAAAUCAACCGAGAUUCCCCCAGUAGCGGCGAGCGAACGGGGAGGAGCCCAGAGCCUGAAUCAGUGUGUGUGUUAGUGGAAGCGUCUGGAAAGGCGCGCGAUACAGGGUGACAGCCCCGUACACAAAAAUGCACAUAUUGUGAGCUCGAUGAGUAGGGCGGGACACGUGGUAUCCUGUCUGAAUAUGGGGGGACCAUCCUCCAAGGCUAAAUACUCCUGACUGACCGAUAGUGAACCAGUACCGUGAGGGAAAGGCGAAAAGAACCCCGGCGAGGGGAGUGAAAAAGAACCUGAAACCGUGUACGUACAAGCAGUGGGAGCCUCUUAAUGGGGUGACUGCGUACCUUUUGUAUAAUGGGUCAGCGACUUAUAUUCUGUAGCAAGGUUAACCGAAUAGGGGAGCCGAAGGGAAACCGAGUCUUAACUGGGCGUUAAGUUGCAGGGUAUAGACCCGAAACCCGUUGAUCUAGCCAUGGGCAGGUUGAAGGUUGGGUAACACUAACUGGAGGACCGAACCGACUAAUGUUGAAAAAUUAGCGGAUGACUUGUGGCUGGGGGUGAAAGGCCAAUCAAACCGGGAGAUAGCUGGUUCUCCCCGAAAGCUAUUUAGGUAGCGCCUCGUGAAUUCAUCUCCGGGGGUAGAGCACUGUUUCGGCAAGGGGGUCAUCCCGACUUACCAACCCGAUGCAAACUGCGAAUACCGGAGAAUGUUAUCACGGGAGACACACGGCGGGUGCUAACGUCCGUCGUGAAGAGGGAAACAACCCAGACCGCCAGCUAAGGUCCCAAAGUCAUGGUUAAGUGGGAAACGAUGUGGGAAGGCCCAGACAGCCAGGAUGUUGGCUUAGAAGCAGCCAUCAUUUAAAGAAAGCGUAAUAGCUCACUGGUCGAGUCGGCCUGCGCGGAAGAUGUAACGGGGCUAAACCAUGCACCGAAGCUGCGGCAGCGACACUAUGUGUUGUUGGGUAGGGGAGCGUUCUGUAAGCCUGUGAAGGUAGCCUGUGAGGGUUGCUGGAGGUAUCAGAAGUGCGAAUGCUGACAUAAGUAACGAUAAAGCGGGUGAAAAGCCCGCUCGCCGGAAGACCAAGGGUUCCUGUCCAACGUUAAUCGGGGCAGGGUGAGUCGAUCCCUAAGGCGAGGCCGAAAGGCGUAGUCGAUGGGAAACAGGUUAAUAUUCCUGUACUUGGUGUUACUGCGAAGGGGGGACGGAGAAGGCUAUGUUGGCCGGGCGACGGUUGUCCCGGUUUAAGCGUGUAGGCUGGUUUUCCAGGCAAAUCCGGAAAAUCAAGGCUGAGGCGUGAUGACGAGGCACUACGGUGCUGAAGCGACAAAUGCCCUGCUUCCAGGAAAAGCCUCUAAGCAUCAGGUAACAUCAAAUCGUACCCCAAACCGACACAGGUGGUCAGGUAGAGAAUACCAAGGCGCUUGAGAGAACUCGGGUGAAGGAACUAGGCAAAAUGGUGCCGUAACUUCGGGAGAAGGCACGCUGAUAUGUAGGUGAAGCGACUUGCUCGUGGAGCUGAAAUCAGUCGAAGAUACCAGCUGGCUGCAACUGUUUAUUAAAAACACAGCACUGUGCAAACACGAAAGUGGACGUAUACGGUGUGACGCCUGCCCGGUGCCGGAAGGUUAAUUGAUGGGGUUAGCGGUAACGCGAAGCUCUUGAUCGAAGCCCCGGUAAACGGCGGCCGUAACUAUAACGGUCCUAAGGUAGCGAAAUUCCUUGUCGGGUAAGUUCCGACCUGCACGAAUGGCGUAAUGAUGGCCAGGCUGUCUCCACCCGAGACUCAGUGAAAUUGAACUCGCUGUGAAGAUGCAGUGUACCCGCGGCAAGACGGAAAGACCCCGUGAACCUUUACUAUAGCUUGACACUGAACAUUGAGCCUUGAUGUGUAGGAUAGGUGGGAGGCUUUGAAGUGUGGACGCCAGUCUGCAUGGAGCCGACCUUGAAAUACCACCCUUUAAUGUUUGAUGUUCUAACGUUGGCCCGUAAUCCGGGUUGCGGACAGUGUCUGGUGGGUAGUUUGACUGGGGCGGUCUCCUCCUAAAGAGUAACGGAGGAGCACGAAGGUUGGCUAAUCCUGGUCGGACAUCAGGAGGUUAGUGCAAUGGCAUAAGCCAGCUUGACUGCGAGCGUGACGGCGCGAGCAGGUGCGAAAGCAGGUCAUAGUGAUCCGGUGGUUCUGAAUGGAAGGGCCAUCGCUCAACGGAUAAAAGGUACUCCGGGGAUAACAGGCUGAUACCGCCCAAGAGUUCAUAUCGACGGCGGUGUUUGGCACCUCGAUGUCGGCUCAUCACAUCCUGGGGCUGAAGUAGGUCCCAAGGGUAUGGCUGUUCGCCAUUUAAAGUGGUACGCGAGCUGGGUUUAGAACGUCGUGAGACAGUUCGGUCCCUAUCUGCCGUGGGCGCUGGAGAACUGAGGGGGGCUGCUCCUAGUACGAGAGGACCGGAGUGGACGCAUCACUGGUGUUCGGGUUGUCAUGCCAAUGGCACUGCCCGGUAGCUAAAUGCGGAAGAGAUAAGUGCUGAAAGCAUCUAAGCACGAAACUUGCCCCGAGAUGAGUUCUCCCUGACUCCUUGAGAGUCCUGAAGGAACGUUGAAGACGACGACGUUGAUAGGCCGGGUGUGUAAGCGCAGCGAUGCGUUGAGCUAACCGGUACUAAUGAACCGUGAGGCUUAACCUU
rnacentral:rRNA from 2 species